CAACUUCCAGAGAGUUUCGUCUUGUCAUUUUCUCUCCCCUAGGGUUUUAUAAAGAUUUUUCUCUAUUUUCGUGUGUGAGUUUAUUCCGUUUCGGAAAAAACUAGCGAAAGCUGCACUCCCACACUCUGUCUACCUAGAAAAUGUCGAGGGUAUACGUUGGGAAUUUGGACCAGCGGGUGACGGAGAGGGAUCUCGAGGAUGAGUUCCGCUUCUAUGGUGUCCUUCGCAGUGUAUGGGUUGCUCGAAGACCACCAGGUUAUGCUUUUGUUGAGUUUGAUGAUCGCCGGGAUGCUGAAGAUGCAAUUCGGGCACUGGAUGGUAAAAAUGGAUGGCGUGUAGAGCUGUCGCACAACUCUAAAGGAGGUGGUGGAGGCCGUGGUGGUGGUCGUGGUGGCGGUGGUCGUGGUGGGGAUGAUCUGAAGUGCUAUGAAUGUGGUGAACCUGGUCAUUUUGCGCGAGAGUGUCGCUUGCGCAUUGGCCCAAGAGGAUUAGGUAGUGGAAGACGUCGAAGUCCGAGCCCUCGGUAUCGUAGGAGUCCAAGUUAUGGGAGGAGGAGUUACAGUCCCAGGAGAAGAUCACCGAGGCGCAGAAGCAUAUCUCCUAAGCGUGGGCGAAGCCCCAGCAGGUCUCCUGAUUAUCGCCGUGGUCAUCGGGAUUCACCUCAUGGUAACGGUGUAUCACCUCGUCGUGGCUAUAGUAACUACAGCAAAUCACCGGCCCAUCGUCGUGGUCAUCGUGAAUCACCCUAUGCCAAUGGGGAUUGAUGACAGAGGAGUAUCAGACUACCAGCAGGAGGGAUGUGAUUUUUCUGCAUUGUAGGCUGAUAGGCUUGAUGAAGAACAAGAAUAGUUAUAAUUUAGUUAAUGACUGGUCAAUGGAUGUCUUCGAACUUGGAUUUUGGUUUUGCUUCUGCUGCAUAUAGAUGCCAAAAAGUAAUGCUUUGCACUGCACUUUGCCGUCGACUUGCUCUGUUCAGCUUACCAAAAUCCUGGAGGUAUGAUUUCGGCUAAGACUGCAUCGCUCUGCAUCGUAUCGCCUCUUCUCCUCUUCUCGCUUCUUAGUCCAUGGUUUUCCACGAUCUGCUUCUCUGCAUUUCUACAUCUAAUUGCUGUAGUAUCUUGAGCUUUAAUGAGUUCGACUUCAUGAUCCGAAACUGCAAGCAAUUAAAUUUGGUCGAUCCAAGUUUUCAUGCAUUAGAGCUUCAUCAUGUAAGAUCCUUUCCUGCCAGCUGUUGGAGCACUUCGCUGCUUUGUGUUCUCCAAAGACUCGAGCUGCACAGUCAUGUACCACCACAUCAUGUUGUCAUCUGCACUUAAAGUGGCAUCAGCUCUCUUUAUGCAUCCACCUUGAAAAUCAGUGAGUGUCCUGUUGUGAGAACAGCCCCACUUAGCUGCUCUUAUUUUCCUCUGCUUUGGUUGCUAAUCAAGUGCUGUCCUUAACCUACUAUUGUGGUAUGAUACUAAGAUAUGAGCCAGCUUGUUUGCUCCUACAAUUGCUUGUCUGGGGGUCUUCCAGGGUUCUGUUCGGAUCCAGCUUCUUACCUGUGUCACUCGCCAUUUACCGAUGCGCUCCCAGUCCCAUGAUCCUUCAUAUGCCCGACUCAUUGUGCUAGGAAGUUCAAUUUUAGUUAAGAAAUACUUGUAAUAUGUCAGACCUGUUUUUAUGGUGAUUUGCAUGACUAGGAGCACGAGGUGCUGCUAUUCAAGGUGGAAUAGCAAUUUUGCAUUCAACACCUCCUACUCCUGUAUUUACAUGGCAAUUUUGGCUGAGACAAAAGGUCGUUUCUACUGGUAAUUGGGUUCUUUACUCCAGCUAUUUAAUAGCAUUUCAACAAAUAUUUCUCGAAA